AUUCGCCCUUAGAGUUUGAUCCUGGCUCAGGACGAACGCUGGCGGCGUGCCUAAUACAUGCAAGUCGAACGAAGCUUUCUUUCACCGAAUGCUUGCAUUCACCGAAAGAAGCUUAGUGGCGAACGGGUGAGUAACACGUAGGCAACCUGCCCAAAAGAGGGGGAUAACACUUGGAAACAGGUGCUAAUACCGCAUAACCAUGAACACCGCAUGAUGUUCAUGUAAAAGACGGCUUUUGCUGUCACUUUUGGAUGGGCCUGCGGCGUAUUAACUUGUUGGUGGGGUAACGGCCUACCAAGGUGAUGAUACGUAGCCGAACUGAGAGGUUGAUCGGCCACAUUGGGACUGAGACACGGCCCAAACUCCUACGGGAGGCAGCAGUAGGGAAUCUUCCACAAUGGACGAAAGUCUGAUGGAGCAACGCCGCGUGAAUGAAGAAGGCCUUCGGGUCGUAAAAUUCUGUUGUCAGAGAAGAACGUGCGUGAGAGUAACUGUUCACGUAUUGACGGUAUCUGACCAGAAAGCCACGGCUAACUACGUGCCAGCAGCCGCGGUAAUACGUAGGUGGCGAGCGUUGUCCGGAUUUAUUGGGCGUAAAGGGAACGCAGGCGGUCUUUUAAGUCUGAUGUGAAAGCCUUCGGCUUAACCGAAGUAGUGCAUUGGAAACUGGAAGACUUGAGUGCAGAAGAGGAGAGUGGAACUCCAUGUGUAGCGGUGAAAUGCGUAGAUAUAUGGAAGAACACCAGUGGCGAAAGCGGCUCUCUGGUCUGUAACUGACGCUGAGGUUCGAAAGCGUGGGUAGCAAACAGGAUUAGAUACCCUGGUAGUCCACGCCGUAAACGAUGAGUGCUAAGUGUUGGAGGGUUUCCGCCCUUCAGUGCUGCAGCUAACGCAUUAAGCACUCCGCCUGGGGAGUACGGUCGCAAGACUGAAACUCAAGGGAAUUGACGG
rnacentral:rRNA from 1 species